rnacentral:rRNA from 1 species
GGCGGACGGGUGAGUAACGCGUAGGAAUCUACCUAAUGGUGGGGGAUAGCCCAGGGAAACUUGGAUUAAUACCGCAUAAGUCCUAAGGGAGAAAGCGGGGGAUCUUCGGACCUCGUGCCAUUAGAUGAGCCUGCGUAAGAUUAGCUAGUUGGUGAGGUAAGAGCUCACCAAGGCGACGAUCUUUAGCUGGUCUGAGAGGAUGAUCAGCCACACUGGGACUGAGACACGGCCCAGACUCCUACGGGAGGCAGCAGUGGGGAAUAUUGGACAAUGGGGGCAACCCUGAUCCAGCCAUGCCGCGUGUGUGAAGAAGGCCUUCGGGUUGUAAAGCACUUUCAGCAGUGAGGAAAGGUUGCAGAUUAAUACUCUGCAGCUGUGACGUUAACUGCAGAAGAAGGACCGGCUAACUCCGUGCCAGCAGCCGCGGUAAUACGGAGGGUCCGAGCGUUAAUCGGAAUUACUGGGCGUAAAGCGCGC